rnacentral:rRNA from 2 species
CUGAGACCUGAUGCCGAGCCGAUUGUGGUGAAGUGGAUGAUCCUAUGCUGUCGAGAAAAGCCUCUAGCGAGUUUCAUGGCGGCCCGUACCCUAAACCGACUCAGGUGGUCAGGUAGAGAAUACCGAGGCGUUCGGGUGAACUAUGGUUAAGGAACUCGGCAAAAUGCCCCCGUAACUUCGGGAGAAGGGGGGCCAUGUCUGGUGAUGAGUCUUGCACUCUGAGCUGGGUGUGGCCGCAGAGACCAGCGAGAAGCGACUGUUUACUAAAAACACAGGUCCGUGCGAAGCCGUAAGGCGAUGUAUACGGACUGACGCCUGCCCGGUGCUGGAACGUUAAGGGGACCGGUUAGUCACAUUUCGGUGUGGCGAAGCUGAGAACUUAAGCGCCAGUAAACGGCGGUGGUAACUAUAACCAUCCUAAGGUAGCGAAAUUCCUUGUCGGGUAAGUUCCGACCUGCACGAAUGGCGUAACGACUUCUCGACUGUCUCAACCAUAGGCCCGGUGAAAUUGCAUUACGAGUAAAGAUGCUCGUUUCGCGCAGCAGGACGGAAAGACCCCGGGACCUUUACUACAGUUUGAUAUUGGUGUUCGGUUCGGCUUGUGUAGGAUAGGUGGGAGACUGUGAAGCAUGCACGCCAGUGUGUGUGGAGUCGUCGUUGAAAUACCACUCUGGUCGUGCUGGAUGUCUAACCUGGGUCCGUGAUCCGGAUCAGGGACAGUGUCUGAUGGGUAGUUUAACUGGGGCGGUUGCCUCCUAAAGAGUAACGGAGGCGCCCAAAGGUUCCCUCAGCCUGGUUGGUAAUCAGGUGUUGAGUGUAAGUGCACAAGGGAGCUUGACUGUGAGACCGACGGGUCGAGCAGGGACGAAAGUCGGGACUAGUGAUCCGGCGGUGGCUUGUGGAAGCGCCGUCGCUCAACGGAUAAAAGGUACCCCGGGGAUAACAGGCUGAUCUUCCCCAAGAGUCCAUAUCGACGGGAUGGUUUGGCACCUCGAUGUCGGCUCGUCGCAUCCUGGGGCUGGAGUCGGUCCCAAGGGUUGGGCUGUUCGCCCAUUAAAGCGGUACGCGAGCUGGGUUUAGAACGUCGUGAGACAGUUCGGUCCCUAUCCGCUGUGCGCGUAGGAAUAUUGAGAAGGGCUGUCCCUAGUACGAGAGGACCGGGACGGACGAACCUCUGGUGUGCCAGUUGUUCUGCCAAGGGCAUGGCUGGUUGGCUACGUUCGGGAGGGAUAACCGCUGAAAGCAUCUAAGCGGGAAGCCUGCUUCGAGAUGAGUAUUCCCACCUCCUUGAGAGGGUAAGGCUCCCAGUAGACGACUGGGUUGAUAGGCCGGAUAUGGAAGCCCUGUAAGGGGUGGAGUUGACCGGUACUAAUAGGCCGAGGGCUUGUCCUCAGUUG